UACGUAGGGGGCAAGCGUUGUCCGGAUUUAUUGGGCGUAAAGAGCGUGUAGGCGGCCUGACAAGUCUGCUGUGAAAACUCGAGGCUCAACCUCGAGAUGUCGGCGGAAACUGUCUGGCUAGAGUCCGGAAGAGGAGAGUGGAAUUCCUGGUGUAGCGGUGAAUGCGCAGAUAUCAGGAGGAACACCGGUGGCGAAGGCGGGUCUCUGGGCCGUAACUGACGCUGAGGAGCGAAAGCGUGGGGAGCGAACAGG
rnacentral:rRNA from 1 species